CUUAGCGGCGGACGGGUGAGUAACGCGUGGGUAACCUGCCUUACACUGGGGGAUAACAGUUAGAAAUGACUGCUAAUACCGCAUAAGCGCACAGGGCCGCAUGGCCUGGUGUGAAAAACUCCGGUGGUGUAAGAUGGACCCGCGUCUGAUUAGGUAGUUGGUGGGGUAACGGCCCACCAAGCCGACGAUCAGUAGCCGACCUGAGAGGGUGACCGGUCACAUUGGGACUGAGACACGGCCCAG
rnacentral:rRNA from 1 species